rnacentral:rRNA from 1 species
GAUGAACGCUAGCGGCAGGCUUAACACAUGCAAGUCGAGGGGCAGCAUAAUGGAUAGCACUAUCUAUGGUGGCGACCGGCGCACGGGUGCGUAACGCGUAUGCAACCUACCUUUAACAGGGGGAUAACACUGAGAAAUUGGUACUAAUACCCCAUAAUAUCAUAGAAGGCAUCUUUUAUGGUUGAAAAUUCCGAUGGUUAGAGAUGGGCAUGCGUUGUAUUAGCUAGUUGGUGGGGUAACGGCUCACCAAGGCGACGAUACAUAGGGGGACUGAGAGGUUAACCCCCCACACUGGUACUGAGACACGGACCAGACUCCUACGGGAGGCAGCAGUGAGGAAUAUUGGUCAAUGGACGCAAGUCUGAACCAGCCAUGCCGCGUGCAGGAUGACGGCUCUAUGAGUUGUAAACUGCUUUUGUACGAGGGUAAACGCAGAUACGUGUAUCUAUCUGAAAGUAUCGUACGAAUAAGGAUCGGCUAACUCCGUG